GUCACGCCGUGUUCCCGGAAUGAGCGGGACAGAGGCCCCGUUAAGGCCGCACUUGCGCUCUGCACCUCCAACUCCCGGCGGACCUUCCUCAGGGGCUUCAUGACAAUAAGCAGUCUACGCAGACACGUUUUCCCGGUAGUCUCACCGUGACUCGACCUGUUAUGGGGGUUCUAUGGGGCCUCUCAUAGUAGGGCCACCUGGGCAGGAGAGCUGCCCACGGAAGGGGUGACCUCACGCAGCCUUCAGGUGGCCUGCAGGGACGGUGUGACCUGCUGCUCUGAGCUCAGACACGUGCUGAGGACACGUGCUCCCUGCGGUGACUUCAGGGCUAAUUUGGAGUCCCCAGGCCUCACGUUCGCCCUUCGCAAGCCUACCCACCCACUCAGCAGGGAGAUGUGGGGACGGUGCUUUCUCUGCACACACCCCAACUCCGUAGGAUCUUUGGUUUCUCUUUGAAACAGUGAGCGCCCUGUCCGCAGAAGCCGGGCUCAGCUAAACGUCCUCGGCCCCCAAGGGGCAGCGGUUUCAGACAUAGAGAGAGAGAGAGAGGCAGAGACCCAGGAGGAGGGAGAAGCAGGCUCCAUGCCAGGAGCCUGACGCGGAGACCCCGUUUUCUGAUCCGACCUAACAGCCCCAGCCCGUGGCCUGUUUCCACCGCUCUCGUCCAAGAGGAAGGAGUCACUGAAGCUGCCAGGGUCCCAGGCCGACCGCGGAGCAAAUCACCCCCACAGCCGCGAGGGCGGCCCAGACUCCUGCUGUCCCCCGGGGGACCUGCCCACGGGCCGCCUCUUCGGGGCCCAGAGACCGGGAGCAAGGUCAGCAGAUUCCCCAGAAAACGGUGUGUUACUUCUCUAGGCUUCCUCCGCUGACUGGUUACUUCUUUGGUUUGGUUCAGAUUUUGAAAACACAUCAUUUCAAUGCCAAGAUUAACAAAAGCUGGCGCUUUAUGAUGUUGGAAUUGACCCAACAAUUCACAGAUUAAAAACAAAAAACAAAAAAA